ACCGGUUCUUCAAAUAAUCAAUGUCAAUAAAUCACAUAAUCCAUUAGCAAAAUAAAUGCAAAUUAAACUCAAUCACUGAGUGCAUUUAACCAUAAUUUACAACAUAAUGUAAUAAUCACCUCAGUAGAUAUUUCGCAUCUCGUGGAGAGCUUAGCUGAGCUGAGCACCCUGCUCAACACAGACAACGUCUUCUGGCAACAGCAUACAGCAGACAAUCAGAAGGACAACAGCUCACCCCUUUUAUACCCCAUGGCCCCUCCCACUAGACAGGCUCAAUCAACAUGGGGAUUAUAAUACUGUGGUAUUUUGCAACUCAACCAUGAAUAAACUCAUCAAAUAUACAGCAUGCAUGUUAAAGUUCAUUUUGUCUUUUAGAUCAGUGAUUUUCACUAGUGCAUUUAGGCUUGUCGCUCAUUAAUGUCCAAUGUCAAUGUUCAGUGUCCUCCUUUGACACAAGGGAAAAAUGGUUUUGCCCAAUUUGGGCCAAUCAGUGCCAGCAGGUGUAUCCUGACACCAUAUUUAAACCCCUCAGCCCCUCCCUGACUCUUUUAGUCUGCAGUAAUGGUGGAUUUAAUGAUUUGUUCGCCACGAAGAGUCGUUCGCGAAUCGUUCGUUCGUUUGUUCGUUCAGUCGAGUUUCCGGUAGCACUAACUCCACUGAGUCUGACUGUCUCAGCUGAGAACCGUGCAAUGGGGUCCAUUCCAUGAUGCGAGUUAUCGCUACCGGAAACCAGGCUGAACGAACAUACGAUUCGUGAACGACUCCUCCCAGUCGAGAUCAUGGAAUGCACGCCAUUGCACGGUUCUCAGCUGAGUCAGUCAGACUCAGUGGAGUUAGUGCUACCGGAAACUCGUUCAUUCGUUCAGUCGAGUUUCCGGUGAAUCGAAUGGUGAACGAGACGACCGAACGAACGAGAGAGACGAACCGGUUCGCGAACGAACGAGCCAACACUAGUCUGCAGUACCGAGCCAUGGUGAGAGGGAGAGAUUGUUUGUGAGUGUAUGUUACUUGAAUAAAGAGCUUGUGUAUGUAUAUUGUAUGCUUGAAGGUUUGCUGUUCAUGCAUUAUCCAUCAAUGCGCGCUAUUGAUGGGCAGUUAAACAGACAGGGACAGUGGUCAAACUGUCACAGCGUAUGUGUGUGUGUGCGUGUGUU
rnacentral:lncRNA from 1 species